CUGCUGUCGGCGCCAGAUCGUACUACGCAGUACCGAGUUACCCGGAUCACUCACUCCAGCUCGCCCACAUCGCUCUUCCCCCGGCUCCCUUAUCCACUACCUGCUUCCCACAUAAACCCCUUUUUAUCCCUUCAACAUCGUAUCUGUCUGCUCUUGGGUUCAGCAUCGUCUACCAUAUCAAAGAAGGGCAUUGUCCUGCCUCUGACAGGACACUGCUCUGCAGUGACCUCUUCAGCAGUGAGGACUUUGACAGGAUGGGGCCGACUGUCCGGCUUAAAGAUGGUGUUGUGCCAACCCUUUUCAACUUUCCAGCUCAUCUUCAAAGGACCACUGUUAAAAGAGCGGAAGACAACCUGGCAACGGACUUGAUGCCUGAUGUUGGAGUUACUGGAGAGAGGAGAUUGAGCCGCAAGCGGCAGGUCAUUGACGACCACUUGUAUGCAUUGCCUGUUUGCCCUACGGCUAUGAAGGCCAAACUUUAAGAAGCCUCAGCGAGAGUGAGGAAACUGCAGCGGGAGAAGAUCAAUGGCUUCAGGAGAGAAAACAGAACAACAUGCAGGCUGUUCUGGAGGAACUGAAGGAGAAAAAUCUCAUCAACGAAGAGCUGAAAGACGAGCUUGAAUGCCACUCAGAUCUUCCGGUUCAUCUCCUGUUGAGGCAGGGCGUAGAGUACACCAAGGCCCAGAGAGAUUCUGCCCUAACGCUCCAUCUGCAUGGUCCAAAGGCAUAUCACUUCCUGAGAGAUACUCUGCACAUUCACCUGCCACAUCCCAAUUCAUUGCAGAGGCAUACAGCCAAAUUAGAAGCAUAACUGGCAGUAUCAAUUGGAAGUACAUAGUUCAGCUGAACAAUGUCUAAAGAAAAGUAGACUACAUGCUGCCAACCGAGUCACAUAAGCAUGUGAACUUUGCUAAUCAGAAGUUGAAGUCAAUCAAGGUCUCCCUGGCAGCUCAGACUUUGAGUAACUCUGUGGCAGGGGCGCUCCGCACCUUGCAGGACGUGGGCUAUGCAGAGUUCAAAGAUUGUGAGGGUACUUCUGAAUUAAUUAAGAUAACAGACAAGCUGUUUGACAUCUUGAACAGUCGCAAUCCCAGAGCCAAAGGGUUCAAAGCCCCCCCUUGGUUCCAGGAAUUGGACAAGCACCAGGGAGUUCUUGAUAAAACCCAGGGGGUACUUGCUCACUUUGAAGAUCGAGGAUGGCAAACCCCUUUACCGAACAAAGAGGUCUUUUAAAAUAGUGUCAAUUAGUGAUGCACUUACACCAUUUGUAGUCGCCAAUACCCAGUUCAAAUUCUUAAUUCUAAUUCAAUUGUGUGCUCAAUUAGAAAAUAAAUGUUUAUUUUAUUAUUCGUUAGAUUUAUACAAGUAGUCAAUUUACAAAUCAUUAAAUUAUCUAAGGUAAAACUCUACUGGUUUCAGUGCAUCCCUCAAGUCCAUGAUAUAAGUUCAACAGAUGCUCUGUUUUAUCUACAGUCUCUGUGUCUUCUGCAUCAAGUUCAGAUGCUCUGUCCUCCUGUCUGCAUCAAGUUCAUAAGAUGCUCUGUCCUGUAAAAUGUUCUGUCCUGUCUGCAUCGAGUUCAUGAGAUGCUCUUUUCUGUUCAUGUAUUGCAUGGUCUGCAUGUUACGGUGUGAAUUGAUGGUGAAUUUAAAGUCAGGGAUGCAAACUAGUCAGCUUUACACCCCCACCCCCCCCCACCACCCAAAUGUGGCAAUGAAGUGAAUUGUUUGAAAUGUGGAUUUGUGUCUGCCCUGAGAAGUCGUAACUACGGCACAAAUAAAGUCUUUGGCAUAAAAAAUUAAUAAAAAUCAAAAUAAUAAUAAAAAA
ensembl:lncRNA